rnacentral:lncRNA from 1 species
GAAGGAAACUGUUGUAUUUUAAAACCUCAUAUUUAAAAAAUGUUUAAGUUAUUAAAUAUAUUAAGUUGAUCACUUUAAAGCCAGUAUUAAGAUGAUCACUUUAAAGCCAGAAUCAAGAAAGACAACUUUGAUAAAAUGAUAAUAUUAUUUAAAAAUUAAGAACGCACAGCCUGGGGUCACGAGCCUGCUUUUCUCCCCUGUCUGAAUAACAUCCAGUACAUAGAUUCUGCGGACUUGGAGCCCAUCACCUCGCAAGAAGAGCCCGUGCGCUACCACGAAGCUUGGCAGAAGCUCUGUAGUGCUCAUGGAGUGCUGGUUCCAGGAGGAUUUGGUGUUCGAGGAACAGAAGGAAAAAUCCAAGCAAUUGCCUGGGCUCGGAAUCAGAAAAAGCCUUUUUUGGGCGUGUGCUUAGGGAUGCAGUUGGCAGUGGUUGAAUUCUCAAGAAACGUGCUGGGAUGGCAAG